UACGAAGGGGGCUAGCGUUGCUCGGAAUCACUGGGCGUAAAGCGCACGUAGGCGGCUUGUUAAGUCAGGGGUGAAAUCCUGGAGCUCAACUCCAGAACUGCCUUUGAUACUGGCGAUCUUGAGUCCGGGAGAGGUGAGUGGAACUGCGAGUGUAGAGGUGAAAAUUCGUAGAUAUUCGCAAGAACACCAGUGGCGAAGGCGGCUCACUGGCCCGGUACUGACGCUGAGGGUGCG
rnacentral:rRNA from 1 species